rnacentral:rRNA from 1 species
UGGGUCCUUAAAGGUUACAAACUAUUUUAAAAGUGAAACCGCAAAAGGCUCAUUAUAUCAGUUAUGGUUUAUUGGAUCAUUAACAGUUACUUGGAUAACUGUGGUAAUUCUAGAGCUAAUACAUGCAAUAUAAACAUGAACCUUAUGGAACAUGUGCUCUUAUUAGUCUAAAACCAAGCGAUUUUUUUCAAAAUCGUUAUAAUGGUUGAACUCUAGAUAAUUUGCCAAUCGUAUGGUCUUGUACCGACGAUAGAUCUUUUAAAUGUCUGCCCUAUCAACUAUUGAUGGUAGUAUUUAGGACUACCAUGGUUGCAACGGGUAACGGGGAAUCAGGGUUCGAUUCCGGAGAGGGAGCCUGAGAAACAGCUACCACAUCUAAGGAAGGCAGCAGGGCGCGUAAAUUACCCACUCCCAGUUCGGGGAGGUAGUGACGAAAAAUAACAAUACAGGACUCAUAUCCGAGGCCCUGUAAUUUGGAAUGAGUACACUUUAAAUCCCUUUAACAAGGACCUAUUGGAGGGCAAGUCUGGUGCCAGCAGCCGCGGUAAUUCCAGCUCCAAUAGCGUAUAU